GCGAGCGGGAUAGCUGGCUUCGGAAAACAGCCAUAAGAUGGCAGGCUUUGUAAAAUAUCAAAGCGUUUUCCUCAAAAAUCUUUUAGGGAUUUUUGGGGCCUCGAAAAUCCAAACAUUUGUGAGGAUUUUCGUUGCUGAGGAAGGUCCACACACCCUUCACAUUUAGUGAUGUAGCGCGAUUGCCGCGAGGCAACUGCCGCGAGGUUAGAGCAACGCAACAGAAACGGCACAGCUCUCUUCGAGCAAUGAACUUUGCAGGAAGCUAAGACAAGAGAGAUUUGAUGAAACGAGCGCCUUCGCUGGUGCAAGGCUUAGAGCCGCAUAGUUGAAUGCCGGCAAAAACUGUUUGCAUUCAGUUGCAAAGUUUUACAGAACGUGGCCUAUUUCCAGCUCGC
rnacentral:RNase_P_RNA from 2 species